GAUGAACGCUGGCGGCGUGCCUAACACAUGCAAGUCGAGCGAACAGACCCGGGCCUUGCUCGGCUUACGUUAGCGGCGGACGGGUGAGUAACACGUGGAUAACCUACCUAUUUGACUGGGAUAACUUCGGGAAACCGGUGCUAAUACUGGAUAAUAAAUUGACCCCCAUUGUGCAUUAGUGAAAGGGGGUUUUGCGGUCAGUUAUAGGCGGACCGCCGCCCCACUAGCUGGUUGGUAGGGUAACGGCUUACCAAGGCAACGAUGCGUGGCCGACCUGAGAGCGGGGACGGCGACAGUGGAGCUGGGACACGGUCCACGGUCCUGCGGGAUGCAGCAGGCGGGAAUGGGGAGCAAUGGGCGGAGGCCUGACGGAGGAGCGCCGGGCGAGGGGUGAGGGUUGUAGGAUUUUGAGACUUAAUUAUCUGGGAAGAACAAUUAUGCAGGUAACUAUGCUCGUGGUGAGGGUACCGAAUAAGAAAGCCACGGCUAACUACGUG
rnacentral:rRNA from 1 species